rnacentral:lncRNA from 1 species
UACACUUUUGACACUGGUCACAUGACCUCUGUCACCCAAUAAGAGGGUGCGUUCUAAAAUGGUUUUGAUAGUCAGCGCGGCCGGGUUUGGUUGGCGAUUGGACUUCUAAGUUGUCUUAUCCGUCUAAGGUUGGUAAUUAUGUGUUUUUUAGUAAUAUUGGCAAUAUUGUUUAAUGCGCCAUUUUGGUUUUACUUGAGAUUUUUGGGAUGUAAAGAAAAUGAAAACACAGAAUAUAAAAAAUGCAGGCAUUUUCUGAUAACUUUAAAAGCACCAUCAAUACAUUAAAUUUAUACAGAACAUCUUUAACAUAAAUUUUGACUUUUAUAUUAAAAUUUUAUUCAACAAU